rnacentral:rRNA from 1 species
UAGGGAAUCUUCGGCAAUGGACGAAAGUCUGACCGAGCAACGCCGCGUGAGUGAAGAAGGUUUUCGGAUCGUAAAACUCUGUUGUUAGAGAAGAACAAGGACGUUAGUAACUGAACGUCCCCUGACGGUAUCUAACCAGAAAGCCACGGCUAACUACGUGCCAGCAGCCGCGGUAAUAUGUAGGUGGCAAGCGUUGUCCGGAUUUAUUGGGCGUAAAGCGAGCGCAGGCGGUUUCUUAAGUCUGAUGUGAAAUCCCCCGGCUCAACCGGGGAGGGUCAUUGGAAACUGGGAGACUUGAGUGCAGAAGAGGAGAGUGGAAUUCCAUGUGUAGCGGUGAAAUGCGUAGAUAUAUGGAGGAACACCAGUGGCGAAGGCGGCUCUCUGGUCUGUAACUGACGCUGAGGCUCGAAAGCGUGGGGAGCAAACAGG